UUGGAAACGACUGCUAAUACCCAAUGUGCCGAGAGGUGAAAGAUUUGUCGUCUGAAGAUGGGCUCGCGACUGAUUAGCUAGAUGGUGGUGUAAGGGACUACCAUGGCGACGAUCAGUAGCUGGUCUGAGAGGAUGAGCAGCCACACUGGGACUGAGACACGGCCCAGACUCCUACGGGAGGCAGCAGUGGGGAAUUUUCCGCAAUGGGCGAAAGCCUGACGGAGCAAUACCGCGUGAGGGAGGAAGGUCUUUGGAUUGUAAACCUCUUUUAUUAGGGAAGAAGAAAGUGACGGUACCUAAUGAAUAAGCAUCGGCUAACUCCGUGCCAGCAGCCGCGGUAAUACGGAGGAUGCGAGCGUUAUCCGGAAUUAUUGGGCGUAAAGAGUCCGUAGGUGGUUUAACAAGUCUGCCGUUAAAGAAUGGAGCUUAACUCCAUGGAGGCGGUGGAAACUGUGAGACUAGAGUACAGUAGGGGUAGCAGGAAUUCCCAGUGUAGCGGUGAGAUGCGUAGAUAUUGGGAAGAACAUCGGUGGCGAAAGCGUG
rnacentral:rRNA from 1 species